GGCAGGAAGUGGCUCAGGUUCCUCGGCAGCAGGAUGAAGGGCUUCCUGUCCACCUUCCCCACCUGCGGCGUGUGCGGCAGCCCGCUCUGCCCCCCUCCCCUGCCGCCCGUCCCCCCGGCCAAGCGGGAGGGCCGCUUCGUGACCCCGCACGUGCUGACCUACCUGGAGCUCUGCAAGGCCCGGGCGGCGCCCCAAACCAGGGAGCGCGGCGUGCAGGUCAACGGCAAAGUGGACCGGAUGGUGCAGUGCUCGCUGGGGCCCAUGACCCUGCGGGGGGAGGGGGCGUGGUGGACGCCGCCGCCAGCGCGGGUGAGCGGCCUACGCUUCAUCAGGCCUGUGUCCGCCUACUCCCCGCUGUUGGAGCGCAGGUUCCCCGCUAAGAGCAGCGAGGAGGGGGCGGGGCAUGAGGACCGGGGUGAGGACCGGGGUGAGGACCAGGGUGAGGACCAGGGUGAGGACCAGGAGGAAGGCAGUAAAGAGGCCCACAAGGCGGCUGUCCAACCCUGCAGGGGCUCCAAUUUCCAGUUCCUGCAGCAGAGGUAUGGUUUCUUCCACUGCAAGAGCUGCAACAUCCGCUGGGAGAGUGCUUACGUCUGGUGCAUCUCAGGAACCAAUAAGGUGUACUACAAGCAGCUGUGCCGGAAGUGUCAGGGAGGCUUCCGCCCCUACAGAGUGGAGUCCAUCAUCUGCAAGGGCUGCGGCCUGACAUGCUGCAGCUGUGAGAAGAAGCAGCGACACAUCAACAUGAAGAGACCUCACCGCCAGGACCUCUGCUGCCGCUGCAGGGGCAUGAGGCUCUCCUGUCACAUCACCUCCACCUUCAACUACCUCCACCUUCAACUACCUGCCACAUGACCUCCACCUUCAACUACCUCCUCUAAACCUGUGACAUGACCUCCACCUUCAACUACCUCCUCUGACCUACACCUUAAACUACACCUUCAAUUACCUCCUCUGAACCUGCGACAUGACCUCCACCUUCAACUACCUCCUCUAAACCUGUGACAUGACCUCCACCUUCAACUACCUCCUCUAAACCUGCGACAUGACCUCCACCAUCAACUACCUCCUCCGACCUCCACCUUCAACUACCUCCUCUAAACCUGCGACAUGACCUCCACCAUCAACUACCUCCUCUGACCUCCAUCUUCAACUACCUCCUCUAAACCUGUGACAUGACCUCCACCAUCAACUACCUCCUCCGACCUCCACCUUAAACUACCUCCUCUAAACCUGUGACAUGACCUCCACCUUCAACUACCUCCUCGGACCUACACCUUAAACUACCUCCUCUGAACCUGCGACAUGACCUCCGCCUUCAACUACCUCCUCUGACCUACA